AUUGAACGCUGGCGGCAUGCUUUACACAUGCAAGUCGAACGGCAGCGCGGGCUUCGGCCUGGGGGCGAGUGGCGAACGGGUGAGUAAUGCAUCGGAACGUGCCCAGUAGUGGGGGAUAGCCCGGCGAAAGCCGGAUUAAUACCGCAUACGACCUGAGGGUGAAAGCGGGGGACCGAAAGGCCUCGCGCUAUUGGAGCGGCCGAUGUCGGAUUAGCUAGUUGGUGGGGUAAAGGCUUACCAAGGCGACGAUCCGUAGCUGGUCUGAGAGGACGACCAGCCACACUGGGACUGAGACACGGCCCAGACUCCUACGGGAGGCAGCAGUGGGGAAUUUUGGACAAUGGGGGCAACCCUGAUCCAGCCAUGCCGCGUGCGGGAAGAAGGCCUUCGGGUUGUAAACCGCUUUUGUUCGGGAAGAAAUCCUCUGGGCUAAUACCCCGGGGGGAUGACGGUACCGGAAGAAUAAGCACCGGCUAACUACGUG
rnacentral:rRNA from 1 species